CAUGGUGUAAAUUUUGGAAUUAUACUCUUAAAUAAAGCCUUCAUUGCAUUGUUAUCUUCUAGCUAGAACCUUGAAGCCUGGCAAGGAUUAUGAGACUGGAAACUCCCAUUGAGACUACCAAAUGAAGAGAAAGUUUCAGACUGUUUAACUCGGACUAAGGGAAAAGAAGCAAAUUACAACAAGGAGAAUAUUGCGGAGAAAGCAAAGACAAGUGAAAAGUCGAGUGAAGAAAAAGCAAACAAGGCUUCACGAUCUGCAACUAGGCCACUGGCGAUGAAGAAGAAAAAUGUACAGCUAAAGAAGAUACAUCAGUGAUCAACUAAAGCUGGGCGACUUAUAUUGGAUUCACGAGGUGCAGGGGGGAUAUUAAUUUGGGUCUGUUUAUCUUUCUAGUUGUCAAUCUGUCUGUCUGUAACACUUCGUUCUCUUAACAUUUCCAAAAAGCCAUCAGAUAUUGCAAUGACAUUUUAUUUAUAUUAUAACUCAUUUUGACGAUCCCACUGCAGAACAUGAUUAAUCAUCAAUACAAAUUUAAUAUUGUUUAUAAAUUAGAUAUUACCCUUAUAUAUUUUGAAGUGAAAUGGUCAGAGGUCAAGGCCUCUUUCGGGGGCACAUAUUGUUUUUGCCUGUCUGUUUAUCUGUCUAUUGCCAAUUUACCUUUUGCCAUAACUUUUGAAUCAUGAGAGAU